AAGAACUAGCAAGUGUAUAUGCCCUUAUGGCAACCUAAUCUGAGCUGGUAUAUAUAAUUGUUUAUGAAGGCAAGGUAUGUGGCUUUCCCUUGUAUUUAUUGUUUGUUUUUCAAUUAUUCAAGCAUUUAAUGUCGUUUUUAGUUUGAUAAAUAGCGGAAAUUAGUUUAACUAUAGUACAAGUACUGUAUCGAAGUUUAGUACUAGAAAUAGUUCUUCUAUGAAUGGUAUGUAGAGUGCUUAUAGAGUGUAGGAUAUGUUUGUAUGUAGAGUUCUCUGGGUCCUCUAGUGUGGGUGUCAUCAUGUCUUUUAUGGCUUGGAAUGAAAUAAUUUAGGUUUCUUUCGGGGAUUUUUUACUGCCAUAUCCCUUAUCCCAUUUUUGAAAUGUUAUUUCCAAUAUAUCACAUUUUAAAAUUAAAGUCCCAGAAAACCCUAUUUUACACUAUCCACUCGCCCAAUGGAUGGACGAGUUCGUGAUGAAUUUUGCGUGCAGCAG
rnacentral:lncRNA from 1 species